GUGACUGAGGCACUCAGCAAGGAGACAGCCAUGUGCAGCACGCAGGAAGAACCCUCCCCAGACACCAGCCCAGCUGGCACCUCGCUCUUGGACUUCCAGCCUCUGGACCAUCCACUCUCCUAAAGAGGGAAUAAAGGUCUCAGACUCAGCAACAAGCUGUUAUGGGCACUGGUUACUGCCAGGAUGCUUCCGGGUGAUGAACUGCUCUGUGUGGGGGAGAGCAAGCCAAGAGGGGUCCACGCAGAAGCCCAUCUAAGAGCCCCCUACACUGCUCCUAGGAAGGCAGGGAGAGAGCUAUGGUCAAAUGUCUCCGAACAGCUUCAGUGUUACCCAGAGAAGCCCGUGCGUUUCAGGGAAGGCCUCCAGCCUGUGCUCUGCACUGAAGAACCCUGGACUUCACCGUGCUACAGAGGUGGUGAUCGGUUAGGCAGCUGAGAUGACGGACCGGAAGCUGGCAAAGCUGGACUGAAGCCCGCGGUUUUCCCACCCCAUGGCCCACGCUGUCCCCACCACGCCACGGAGUCAAAAGGGGGACCAUUCCUGCCAUAUCUCAGCAGUUAUGUGCUUAUUCUGCUUAAUAAUUUAUCCAGCAUCCUCUUACAUAAUUAAGCUUAAUUUGCUGAGCUCUUUAUCCUUCUUAAAUCAUCAGGCCAUGCUUUGAAAACACAUUAAAUAGAGUAACCAAACAAUGUUUAUAAAAGUAAUGGAAAUUAAUGACUUCCGCAAAGGCUUUCCUUCUAGGAGAGAGCUACAGAUGAAAGUAAUAAUAAUACAUUUAAAAAGAACAAAAACCAAACACUUGUGCUCACCUGACCAGCCCCCGAUACAUGAUGUAUUCACACCAUCUGUCACGAUCUGUGCUGUCGAUAUCCUGGUAAGGGGCAGAAGGAAAAUGUUCACAGCAUAGAAACCAAAUUGUGAGCUGCAGUGGUAAGUAUGCCUUGUUGCAUGUCAUUUUCUCUUUCUGGUCCCUACUGAUCCUUGGAGUCUAAUUGACUUGGUCAUUCUACAAAUGUUUCUUGAACACCUGCUAUGUUCUCCUCCAUCUCUGCACUAGAGGCUGGAAAUACAAAGAUAAAGGUGGCCUGGAGAGGGCGUUAGACAGGAACAUAUGUCAGUGAUUCCAAGGUGGCGCCUGGCACCCUCCGGCUUUCCAAGUCUCUCAUCGUAAAGAGAGAGCAGCACAUCUUCAGGUCAUGGGGAGGUGUGCUUUAUGCACCCCAGCUUGACCACAGUGUCAUGUCAUCUGUCCCUGUGUCUGCACCCUCCCCUUCCUGAGCACAGGGGCUGGGACUCAUUUCUGGCUGCCUAGCACUUAGCCGGAAGCCUGGUGCUCAGCAGGUAGGCGCUCAGUCUGUGUUUGUUAAAUUGAACUGUGGAAAUAAACACAUUGCGAGAGAAAUCAUGGGUCUUUUUUAUAGCAAAAGCUUGAAGGCAGGAUCAGUUCUCAUCACAGAGAAGCAGAAACAUGUUUUUCUAUAAUGUGUUCAGAAGACUAUAAAUAUGGAACUUUUAUACUGAAAGAAGAAGAAAUAUUUAUUUUCUUCUUUUGAAAUAUUCAUUUUCUUCUUUUGAAAUGUCUAUAAAUAAAGA